rnacentral:antisense_RNA from 1 species
UGUGGGAGCGGGCUUGCUCGCGAAUGCGAUAGAUCAGACACCAAUGAUGUCGACUGAUACACCACUUUCGCGAGCAAGCCCGCUCCCACA